CAGCACCUCAAGUGGGUCAGGAGGAUUAUUGGGCCUAAAGCAUCCGUAGCUUGCUCUGUAAGUUUCCCGGGUUAAAUCCAUUAGCUCAACUAAUGGCCUGCCGGAAAUACUGCAAAGCUAGGAAGUGGGAGAGGUAGACGGUACUCGGUAGGAAGGGGUAAAAUCCUUUGAUCUAUUGAUGACCACCUGUGGCGAAGGCGGUCUACCAGAACACGUUCGACAGUGAGGGAUGAAAGCUGGGGAAGCAAACCCGGAUUUAGAUACCCCGGGUAGUCCCAGCUGUAAACGAUGCAGACUCGGUGAUGCCCCUGGCUUGUGGCCAGUGCAGUGCCGCAGGGAAGCCGUUAAGUUUGCCGCCUGGGAAGUACGUACGCAAAGUAUG
rnacentral:rRNA from 1 species